rnacentral:rRNA from 1 species
AGUGAACGCUGGCGGUAGGCCUAACACAUGCAAGUCGAACGGCAGCACAGUAAGAUCUUGCUCUUACGGGUGGCGAGUGGCGGACGGGUGAGGAAUACAUCGGAAUCUACUUUUUCGUGGGGGAUAACGUAGGGAAACUUACGCUAAUACCGCAUACGACCUACGGGUGAAAGCAGGGGAUCUUCGGACCUUGCGCGAUUGAAUGAGCCGAUUCCGGAUUAGCUAGUUGGCGGGGUAAAGGCCCACCAAGGCGACGAUCCGUAGCUGAUCUGAGAGGAUGAUCGGCCACACUGGAACUGAGACACGGUCCAGACUCCUACGGGAGGCAGCAGUGGGGAAUAUUGGACAAUGGGCGAAAGCCUGAUCCAGCCAUGCCGCGUGGGUGAAGAAGGCCUUCGGGUUGUAAAGCCCUUUUGUUGGGAAAGAAAAGCAGCAGGUUAAUACCCGGCUGUUCUGACGGUACCCAAAGAAUAAGCACCGGCUAACUUCGUG